rnacentral:rRNA from 1 species
GACGAACGCUGGCGGCGUGCUUAACACAUGCAAGUCGAACGGAAAUGCCCUGCUUUUGUGGGGUGCUCGAGUGGCGAACGGGUGAGUAACACGUGAGUAACCUGCCCUUGACUUUGGGAUAACUUCAGGAAACUGGGGCUAAUACCGGAUAUGAGCUCCUGCUGCAUUGUGGGGGUUGGAAAGUUUCGGCGGUUGGGGAUGGACUCGCGGCUUAUCAGCUUGUUGGUGGGGUAGUGGCUUACCAAGGCUUUGACGGGUAGCCGGCCUGAGAGGGUGACCGGCCACAUUGGGACUGAGAUAGGGCCCAGACGCCUACGGGAGGCAGCAGUGGGGAAUAUUGCACAAUGGGGGGAAGCCUGAGGCAGAAACGCUGCGUGCGGGAUGACGGCCUUCGGGUUGUAAACCGCUUUCGCAGGUGACGAAGCGUGAGUGACGGUAAUGGGUAAAGAAGCACCGGCUAACUACGUG